GACGAACCGUGCGAACGUUGUUCGGAUUCACUGGGCUUAAAGGGCGCGUAGGCGGGCGGUCAAGUCGGGGGUGAAAUCUUUCAGCUUAACUGGAAAAGUGCCUCCGAUACUGCCGUGCUUGAGGACUGGAGAGGAGACUGGAAUUCAUGGUGUAGCAGUGAAAUGCGUAGAGAUCAUGAGGAAGACCAGUGGCGAAGGCGGGUCUCUGGACAGUUCCUGACACUGAGGCACGAAGGCCAGGGGAGCAAACGGG
rnacentral:rRNA from 1 species